rnacentral:piRNA from 1 species
CAGGCUCAACAGUUCAUUAGACGUCGUCUGU